CCCUUAGAUGUCCUGGGCCGCACGCGCGUUACACUGAUGCAUUCAACGAGCUUAUAACCUUGGCCGAGAGGCCUGGGCAAUCUUGUUAACGUGCAUCGUGAUAGGGGUAGAUUAUUGAAAUUAUUAAUCUUGAACGAGGAAUUCCUAGUAAACGCAGAUCAUCAAUCUGCAUUGAUUACGUCCCUGCCCUUUGUACACACCGCCCGUCGCACCUACCGAUUGGAUGGUCCGGUGAAGCCUCGGGAUUGUGGUUCUUGCCGCUUUAUUGUGGCGUGACCGCGAGAACUUGUCUAAACCUUAUCAUUUAGAGGAAGGAGAAGUCGUAACA
rnacentral:rRNA from 1 species